rnacentral:lncRNA from 1 species
AGCCCAGACAAAAUCAGGGGAGGCCCAGCUUUGCCCACUGGCUCAGUUUGGGGUGAGUGGUGCUUCUGUAAGUGUUGCCCUUCAGCCGGGUUGUCUGGAAGAGAUCAUAGUGUUCAGAUUAUUCCCAUAAAUUCCCUUGGAGCAAAGGUGGUGAUUUUUCUUACUCCUCAGCUUCCAAACCCUUUCAGUAACUGGCUUGGCAGCCGCAUUAUGGGCAGUCAGGAGAGAGGGCACAUGCCUCAGAAAGCUUGGCCACAUCGGGGCGUGGGAAGGCUCCAGGGCUGUGCCAGAAACCAGGGUGGGGACCUGUGUGAAACCUUGGGUUGCCUCCACGGCUUCAAGACGGGUGGGCACCAGCCACAAAGUCCCCUCUUGGCCCCUUCCGGGUUUUCCAGAAGGUUCUCGCCUGUUCUGCACAAGGCAGGCAUGGUAAUCCCGUGGUUUAAUGGGGGUGAGCGCAGCUGCUAGCAGCUCACCCGUCAGGGAGUGCCUUCCUCCACGUUCCCUGGUAGGAUUAGACCUCAUAGAGCGCAGGUCCUCAGAGCAGCAAAAGAAAAUAUUUUUCAUGUGAUGUCUUGGAAACUAUUUCUCACAGGCAGAGGCUCACUGAGCCUUCAGGGGCCGCAAACCUAAAAAUGUUGCAGACACUUUGGAAACCAAAGAUUUUCUGAGACUGUGCAAAGGCUGCCCAUGGUCUUCCUGCUGAAGAUUCUUCCCUUUCACCCUUUUUCUUCCCCCAGGAGCCCUGUCCCCUGGGAGACUCCUUUUAUGCCUCCGUGGUGGCAGCCUGGUCCCAAAUGAAGCCUUUGCUCCAGCUAUGACAGCCUGGAGAGAAGGGAAGACACCAUCUCCUCUGAUGGGGGGUUCAAGGCACAGCUGUUCAGAUCUUUGGGUGGCGGGGGAAUGGCUUUUUAUGUUUUAUUCACAGUGCCCGUGAUUCAUUCCCACCCAAGCUGUCGGGAGACUGGCUAGGAGAAGGCAGAGGGCAGUGUCUCACCCCGGCCUGCACCAGAACCCUGCUUCCCUGCCAUCAUCCUCACCCUUGUCAGAACCCCGGAGCAGGUGGCAUCAAAGACUCCAAUGGGGCUCCCCUCCCCCACUGAUAAGCCAAAGGGAAGUCCAGCCAACGCUCUAGGACUGUGCCAUCCAGUAACAUGUGCCCGCCGACCAAGCGCUCGAAAUGUAGCAAGAGUGAACUGAGAUGUACUGUAAGUACAAAAUACAUGCCAGACUUCUAUUUUAUUUUUUCUUUUUUAAAGGGCUGCCCCUGUGGCAUAUGUAAGGUCCCAGGAUAGGGGUCGAAUCGGAGCAGCAGCUGCUGGCCUAUGCCACAGCCACAGCAACACAGGAUGCUUAACCCACUGAGCGAGGCCAGGGAUUGAACCCACGGUCUCAUGGAUACCAGUCAGGUUUGCUACCACUGAGCCACAACAGGAAUGCCUUCUGUGUUUUUUUUUUUUUUUCUUUUUUUUCCUCCACACCAGACUUUUAAAAACAUCUUUUUUUUUUUUGCAUUUAUUUUUUAUUUUAUUUUAUUUUCCCACUGUACAGCAAGGGGAUCAAGUUAUCCUUACAUGUAUACGUUACAAUUACAUUUUUGUUCCCCACCCUUUGUUCUGUUGCAACAUGAGUAUCUAGACAAAGUUCUCAAUGCUACUCAGCAGGAUCUCCUUGUAAAUCUAUUCUAAGUUGUGUCUGAUAAACCCAAGCUCCCGAUCCCUCCCACUCCCUCCCCCUCCCAUCAGGCAGUCACAAGUCUUUUCUCCAAGUCCAUGAUUUUCUUUUCUGAGGAGAUGUUCAUUUGUGCUGGAUAUUAGAUUCCAGUUAUAAGUGAUAUCAUAUGGUAUUUGUCUUUGUCUUUCUGGCUCAUUUCACUCAGUAUGAGAUUCUCUAGUUCCAUCCAUGUUGCUGCAAAUGGCAUUAUGUCAUUCUUUUUUAUGGCCGAGUAGUAUUCCAUUGUGUAUAUAUACCACCUCUUCCGAAUCCAAUCCUCUGUCGAUGGACAUUUGGGUUGUUUCCAUGUCCUGGCCAUUGUGAAUAGUGCUGCAAUGAACAUGCGGGUGCAUGUGUCUCUUUUAAGUAGAGUUUUGUCCGGAUAUAUGCCCAAGAGUGGGAUUGUGGGGUCAUAUGGAAGUUCUAUGUAUAGAUUUCUAAGGUAUCCCCAAACUGUUCUCCAUAGUGGCUGUACCAGUUUACAUUCCCACCAGCAAUGCAGGAGGGUUCCCUUUUCUCCACAGCCCCUCCAGCACUUUUUAUUUGUGGAUUUAUUAAUGAUGGCCAUUCUGACUGGUGUGAGGUGGAAUCUCAUGGUAGUUUUGAUUUGCAUUUCUCUUAUAAUCAGCGAUGUUGAGCAUUUUUUCAUGUGUAAAAACAUCUCCUUAAUAAUGUUUAUGUUAUUCCAUUUAGAAAUGAUACUCUGAUAUACUAAAAAUCUAUUAUUAAAAUUAGUUUCACCUGUUUCUACUUUCAUUCGUGGGGCUACUAGAACACAAAAUGAUCUAUGUGGUCUAAAUUACAUUUUCACUAGACAGCACCCCUCUAGAAACUGAAAGAAACUUCAGUGUGGCCUGAGGGUUAGGAAUGUUCCUAGAGAUACGAAGAGUGGAGAGAGUUCCCUUGUGGCUUGGCGGUUAAAGAACCUGACUGGCAUCCAUGAGGAUUCAGGUUCAAUCCCUGGCCUCGAUCAGUGGGUUAAGGAUCCAGUGUUGCCAUGAGCUGUGGUGUAGGUCACAGAUGCAGCUGGGAUCCUGCGUUGCUGUGGCUCUGACGUAGGCCGGCAGCUAUGGCUCCAAUUCAACCCCAAGCGUGGGAACCUCCAUAUGCUGCAGGUGUGGCCCUCAAAAGCAAAAAAAAAAAAAAAGAAGAGUGGAGCUGCCCUGAGUUAGGAGGCUGUCACCACAGAGUGAGAGGAGACUUUUGUUGGGGAGAAAGUGUCUUCACUCACUGGCCGACCAGCAGGGACAGGGCAGCAGGGGCAGCAGGAUACCAGCCGGAUUUUAACCAGGCACCUAUUUCAGAUGACUCAGCUCCAGCCAGCCUUCUGGCCCACAUGGCACAGCCUGGGCGGGAACUGGGAAGCUGCACUAUGCUCGUCUCCAAGCCCAGGAGGAGAGGGCCCAGGUUAGCCCUCAAGUCGUGUGUACAGGCGGCGGCCAGUGCAGAGGCAUUUUCGCAGCUGGGCAAAGAGUCCAUAGGAACAGCUGCCGUUUCAAUGCUGCUGAACUGUUUGAAGCAGUUGCAGUCUAUUCGGUGUUCUCCAAAAUCCCAUUCGGGGAGUUCCCCUUGUGGCUGAGUGGGUUAAGAACCUGACUAGUGUCUGUGAGGACAUGGGUUUGAUCCCUGGCCUUGAUCAGUGGCUUAAGGAUCUGGCGUUGCUGUGAGCUGUGGUGUAGGUCAAACAUGUGGCUCAGAUCCCGAGUUGCUGCUGCUGCGGUGUAGGCCAGCCGCUACAACUCCGAUUCGACCCCUAGCCUGGGUGGGAACCUCCAUAUG